AUUGAACGCUGGCGGCAGGCCUAACACAUGCAAGUCGAGCGGAUGAAGGGAGCUUGCUCCUGGAUUCAGCGGCGGACGGGUGAGUAAUGCCUAGGAAUCUGCCUGGUAGUGGGGGAUAACGUCCGGAAACGGGCGCUAAUACCGCAUACGUCCUGAGGGAGAAAGUGGGGGAUCUUCGGACCUCACGCUAUCAGAUGAGCCUAGGUCGGAGUAGCUAGUUGGUGGGGUAAAGGCCUACCAAGGCGACGAUCCGUAACUGGUCUGAGAGGAUGAUCAGUCACACUGGAACGGAGACACGGUCCAGACUCCUACGGGAGGCAGCAGUGGGGAAUAUUGGACAAUGGGCGAAAGCCUGAUCCAGCCAUGCCGCGUGUGUGAAGAAGGUCUUCGGAUUGUAAAGCACUUUAAGUUGGGAGGAAGGGCAGUAAGUUAAUACCUUGCUGUUUUGACGUUACCAACAGAAUAAGCACCGGCUAACUUCGUG
rnacentral:rRNA from 1 species